CCUACGGGCGGCAGCAGUAGGGAAUUUUCGGCAAUGGGGGGAAGCCUGACCGAGCAACGCCGCGUGAACGAAGAAGUUAUUCGUAAUGUAAAGUUCUUUUAACAGGGAAGAAAGAGAAAUUUGACGGUACCUGAAGAAUAAGCUCUGGCUAACUACGUGCCAGCAGCCGCGGUAAUACGUAGGGAGCGAGCGUUAUCCGGAAUGAUUGGGCGUAAGGGGUGCGUAGAUGGCAUAGUAAGUCUUUUGUAAAAAUGCUGGGCUAAACCCAGUAGGGCAAAAGAUACUGCAAAGCUAGAGUAUGACAGAGGCAAGUGGAACUACAUGUGUAGCGGUAAAAUGCGUAAAUAUAUGUAAGAACACCAGUGGCGAAGGCGGCUUGCUGGGUCGAUACUGACAUUGAGGCACGAAAGCGUGGGGAGCAAACAGGAUUAGAUACCCGAGUAGUC
rnacentral:rRNA from 1 species